CAGAAGUUUAAAAACUUCACAUAUGGAUCUACUCUUCAACAAAUCUUUUCAACAUUUGGUUUUUUUAGCCAAAAAUUACAUCUCAUGCUUUGGAAUUUCCUCUUGCAACUGGUCCCAGGUAUCAAAAGCAUGCGUGAUACAAAGCUAAUGCAUACACAGACACUUCAAAUAGCCAAAAUCAUGUGUCAUGAGGGAAUUACUUGGAGUGCAAAAGAGGGUAAUGAGACCUUAUGGUUCCCUGCUGUUACAGCUGUAAGAUUGGGGAUUUGUGAGCUUGUCCAUGAAAUUUCAAAGGCCUUCUACUAUUCGUAUAUUUUCAGAGAAAAUGGUCAUGGCUUAUUUCAUCUUGCUAUUCUACAUCGCCAAG